rnacentral:snoRNA from 13 species
ACGCACUCGAUACUAACCGAGCCAUCUGGCCCUGGCCUCCCUGCGGGGCUCCUGGGGCUGCCUUGUGGUGGCUGGGUCUGAGCAGUGCAAAAUUAGCCAAGCCGUGAGGACUCUGAGCUCAGCGUGGGGAGACACACUCUGGGUUAUAACUCAAAGGCACAGCC